AUUGAACGCUGGCGGCAUGCCUUACACAUGCAAGUCGAACGGUAUCAGGUUAAGCUGACGAGUGGCGAACGGGUGAGUAAUGUAUCGGAACGUGCCCAGUCGUGGGGGAUAACUGCUCGAAAGAGCAGCUAAUACCGCAUACGACCUGAGGGUGAAAGCGGGGGAUCGCAAGACCUCGCGCGAUUGGAGCGACCGAUAUCAGAUUAGGUAGUUGGUGGGGUAAAGGCCCACCAAGCCAACGAUCUGUAGCUGGUCUGAGAGGACGACCAGCCACACGGGGAGUGAGACACGGCCCAGACUCCUACGGGAGGCAGCAGUGGGGAAUUUUGGACAAUGGGCGCAAGCCUGGUCCAGCCAUGCCGCGUGCGGGAAGAAGGCCUUCGGGUUGUAAACCGCUUUUGUCAGGGAAGAAACGGCUUUCUCUAAUACAGAGAGCUAAUGACGGUACCUGAAGAAUAAGCCCCGGCAAACUUCGUGCCAGCAGCCGCCGUAACAC
rnacentral:rRNA from 1 species